UACGGAGGGUGCAAGCGUUAUCCGGAUUCACUGGGUUUAAAGGGUGCGUAGGUGGCUUUGUAAGUCAGUGGUGAAAGCCUGGAGCUUAACUCCAGAACUGCCAUUGAUACUGCUUAGCUUGAAUCGAGUAGAGGUGGAUGGAAUAUCACAUGUAGCGGUGAAAUGCUUAGAUAUGUGAUAGAACACCGAUUGCGAAGGCAGUUCACUAUGCUCGUAUUGACACUGAGGCACGAAAGCGUGGGGAUCAAACAGG
rnacentral:rRNA from 1 species